AGUAAGAUGCCUGAAAAAAAGGAUUAUUUUGAUAUAAUAAAUCAAGUGUAUUAAAAUCACUCUUACUA
rnacentral:tRNA from 1 species